AGUUUGACUGGGGCGGUCUCCUCCUAAAGAGUAACGGAGGAGCACGAAGGUUGGCUAAUCCUGGUCGGACAUCAGGAGGUUAGUGCAAUGGCAUAAGCCAGCUUGACUGCGAGCGUGACGGCGCGAGCAGGUGCGAAAGCAGGUCAUAGUGAUCCGGUGGUUCUGAAUGGAAGGGCCAUCGCUCAACGGAUAAAAGGUACUCCGGGGAUAACAGGCUGAUACCGCCCAAGAGUUCAUAUCGACGGCGGUGUUUGGCACCUCGAUGUCGGCUCAUCACAUCCUGGGGCUGAAGUAGGUCCCAAGGGUAUGGCUGUUCGCCAUUUAAAGUGGUACGCGAGCUGGGUUUAGAACGUCGUGAGACAGUUCGGUCCCUAUCUGCCGUGGGCGCUGGAGAACUGAGGGGGGCUGCUCCUAGUACGAGAGGACCGGAGUGGACGCAUCACUGGUGUUCGGGUUGUCAUGCCAAUGGCACUGCCCGGUAGCUAAAUGCGGAAGAGAUAAGUGCUGAAAGCAUCUAAGCACGAAACUUGCCCCGAGAUGAGUUCUCCCUGACUCCUUGAGAGUCCUGAAGGAACGUUGAAGACGACGACGUUGAUAGGCCGGGUGUGUAAGCGCAGCGAUGCGUUGAGCUAACCGGUACUAAUGAACCGUGAGGCUUAACCUUACAACGCCGAAG
rnacentral:rRNA from 1 species